UACGAAAGGGGCUAGCGUUGUUCGGAAUUAUUGGGCGUAAAGCGCACGUAGGCGGCAUUGCAAGUCGGAUGUGAAAUCUUAUGGCUUAACCAUAAAAGUGCAUCCGAAACUGCAGUGCUUGAGUACUUAAGAGGAUCGCGGAAUUCCCGUGUAGAGGUGAAAUCGUAGAUAUCGGGAGGAACACCAGUGGCGAAGGCGGCGAUCUGGGAAGAGUACUGACGCUGAGGUGCGAAAGCGUGG
rnacentral:rRNA from 1 species